GGGGUCUGUGAAAAGGAAUGGUGAUUGAGGGAGAAUGAGUUUACCAGUAAGAACAAUUGAUGCAAAGAACUGAUUGUAAGAUGUGGUUACUCACCUUUCUUCUUGUGUUUCUCCAAGGUGUUUGGGCAAAUAUGUCCCCUGGGUCCAGACACCAUUUAAAGGUUCCGGGAGAGACCAGGGCUUAAGGGAGAGGGGGGAAUCUGUUGUGCUGGGGAUUUUGGGUUUUAUAAUAUGGGGUUUGUGUAAGAUUAAAGAGGGAGAUAUGUAUUAAUAUGAAUGUUAAAUGUAGUUAAGUAUAUAUGUAGGUUGAUGUGUUGUGUAUUAUGGUGGAAGGGGGGAAUUUAAGAAACUACCUGUGAGUGGAAGAAUGGUUUAGUCGGUGACAGCUGGAAGUAUUUAAGGCUGCCAGUUGUCAGAGGGUUUUUCUCUGUUCUUCUGUUGUGUUGUAAAGAUGCUAGAUGUGAAGUUCUUGUAGGAAGAGCUGCAUGGAAAAUAAAGAUGUGUUGUUCCACUGCA